AAUAGAUACCCCCGGUAGUCCUAGCCGUAAACGGUGAGCACUAGGUGUAGGAGGCAUCGACCCCUCCUGUGCCGCAGCUAACGCAUUAAGUGCUCCGCCUGGGGAGUACGACCGCAAGGUUGAAACUCAAAGGAAUUGACGGGGGGCCCGCACAAGCGGUGGAGCAUGUGGUUUAAUUCGAUGCAACGCGAAGAACCUUACCCAGAUUUGACAUGCACUGGACCGGUGUGGAAACACACCUUCCCUUCGGGGCUGGUGCACAGGUGCUGCAUGGCUGUCGUCAGCUCGUGUCGUGAGAUGUUGGGUUAAGUCCCGCAACGAGCGCAACCCUUGUCCUUAGUUGCCAGCAGGUAAAGCUGGGGCACUCUAGGGAGACUGCCGUCGAUAAGGCGGAGGAAGGUGGGGAUGACGUCAAGUCCUCAUGGUCCUUACAUCUGGGGCUACACACGUGCUACAAUGGCUGGUACAAAAGGGUCGCAAUACCGCGAGGUGGAGCCAAAUACCCCAAAAAAACCCAGCCUCAGUUCGGAUUGC
rnacentral:rRNA from 1 species